GGCCUUAAACAUAGUAAUGCAGGAUAAGUAUACAAAUGUAAAAAAUAUUUAGAUUUUACUAAAUUGUUUACUUAUCCUGCAUUACUCCUUAAUGCAUCUGUAUCGGACAAUUUGGAGGUGGGAAAUCCUCACAAUACAGAAACCUCAAUAAUUCACACCCUGAAAAUACGACACAGAUUGGUCAGUAAACCGUUAAGCGGAAAAGUUGAGAGAAAACGCUAAUACAGUAGGUUUUUACAAUGUGGCAAACAAUUGCACAUGGGGGUAAAGAGCAGUUCCCUAUACAUUUUUAGUAAUAAAGACAACGAGCUCAUCAGCCAAAUCUUUACUUACUAUAUAAUUAAAGCCCUGAUGACAAUAACUUGUCUUCCACUGGCGAAAUCUGAUCGAUUACACCAAACAGGAAAGGCUCUGUAUAGGGUGAGUACAUUAUUUGCGUCGAGGGUUGGUAACUUGCUGAGCUACAACCAACGGCCCAAAACUCCGUACACCUUCAAUGUCCUCGAGAGUCACUUCGCGAAGAUAAUGACUAGCGAAAACUGUGUCAGACCUCCAAAAACAUCCUUCCAUGAUUGUCUUAAUAGUACAAUUGCUGUGUAAGGCCAUGGUAGAGGCCAAUGCCCUGAUCUCAUGAGGAUUAUUCGUUCUUGGCGGAUCCAAAUUGGCGAUCGAAUAGGCCUGAAGGAUGACUGCGCGUAACCAUAAAGAUAUGGUGUUGACCUCGGUUGUGGACGUAGUAGAUACAGGUAUAAAUAACCGCUUCCUCGAACCACGCCUAGUCUUGGAACGGCGGAUGAAAAUUUGCAGUGCCCGUACCGGACAUAAUAGAAGUUCACCCUCAUCCUCACUGCCCACAAUCGUCGAGAUUGAUGGAAUGGUGAAGGAACGAUCAGGUUGGCCUGGUAAUUGAUUUUUGGCAAUAAAAUCCCAGCACAACCCGAGAUGUACCGCUCCGUGCGUCCCAUGCUCAAAAUGAACCCGGGUGAUGUCGAUUGCAUGUAAUUCGCUCACCCGUGCCGCUGUGGCUAAUGCCAAGAGAAACAUUGUUUUCUUGGUGAGGUCAUGAAAGGAGGAUGCAUUGAGGGGCUCAAAUGGGGGUCCUCGCAAACCUCGAAGUACCACGUUCAGAUCCCACGCAGGUGGGCGGAACUUGGUCUUCUGAUCCUCAAGCCUGAAUGAGCAUAAUAAGGCCUGUAGUUCCGGGAUCUUAGUAAUCUUACGAUUAUCCGGAACGGCCAACACUGAGUUAAGUGCAACCAAGUACGUGGUAAUAGUGCUACCUUUCAAGUGUCUAUGGGUACGCAAAUGUAGGAGGUAUUCAGCUAAAAACUGAGGUGAUGCAGUAAAAGGGCCUUGACCUUUUGCCUUGCAAAAUGUUUCCAACGAUCCCCACUUGUCAUCGUAAAGGCCUCUAGUAGAGGCAUGAUGAGCUAACGUUAUAGCUUUUGCUGUUGAGCCGAAUAGCCCUUUGCACUUAAUGCCUUCUUAAGACGAACCAACCGUGCAGACGAAAUCUGUCUGGUGUUGGAUGAGGCAAUUUGCUGUGAGGGUGGAUAAGUAGGUUAAACCACUGUGGGAGGGGUAGUGGAUCGUUUUCUGCUAGCUUUAUGAGCUUGACGAACCACCCUCUCGCUGGCCACCAGGGCGCGACCAAAGUCAGAGCAAGUAUUCUUGUCUCUUUGAUCUUUUGUAUUACCCUGGGAAGUAGAACUGGUGGCGAAAAUGCAUACGCUUUUAGUCCUUCCCAAGGAAUGCUGAAUGCGUCCACCGCCCAAGCCUUCGGAUCUGGUAACGGGGAGACAUACAUCAAGAGUUGGUGAUUUUGGCAAGUUGCAAACAGGUCGAUGUUUGGUUGCCCGAACUUCCGAAGCAAUAAUUGGAAUGCUUCUGUGUGAAGUUUCCACUCGGUGGGUGCUACCCUGUCUGGGCGUGAUAGAGCAUCGGCCAGAAUGUUUCGACAUCCGGGGAUGUGCUGAACUAUGAACUGUAGUUGCAGCCGAUCCACUAGAUGGAAAAACCUGAAUGUCUGUUGAAGUAGCGAGUGGGAGUGUGUUGUUCCCUGAUUGCGCAGGCACCACUCCACAGUGCUGUUGUCUGUGGAUAUGGAGAGUUGGGUUGAUUGUAGUUGAUUCUGCCAAUGGGAUAUGGCGAGAAUUAUGGCUUCCAACUCCAGAUUGUUUAUGUGCCAUUUCCGAUGAGCGCUUGACCAUAGCCCUGAGACUGUCUGGUGUUGUAGGUGAGCACCCCACCCCUGAAGGGAGGCGUCUACGAAUAGGUGUAGAUUCAGAUAAAGAGAUUCCUCCUAAGACAUUCGACUCUAUCGUCCACCAAAGGAGGAAAGGUCUCAAAUGCGUUAGUAGCAUGAUGGCCUUGAGUGGAUCUUGACUCCUGAUGUAGGGAUUCAGGAAUUGUUGUAUUGGGCGUAACUGUAACGGCCUCUGUUGGUUAGGUCCUGGACUGAGGUGAGUAACCCUAGCAACACUUGCCAUUGCUGAAGUGUGCGUGGUUGACAAAGAGCAGGUGACAGGAGGCGUAAAUUCUUGUGCCAUCUGUCCCUCGUGACUGACAGGAGGUUCUGAUCUGUUUAAAAUAGUCCUCCUAUGAACUGGAGUCGAAAUGAUGGAGUUAACUCCGACUUUGCCUCGUUGAUUAUCCAACCCAGUUGAUAUAGUAGCCUUCUGGUGAAUUCCCGGUGGCAUACUAACGUCGUUGUGUUUUGAUGACACAGGAGACAGUCGUCUAUGUACGACUCAAACCAAAUGUUCCUCAGGUGUAGAAACGCAGUUAUGGGCUUCAUUAUUCGUGUAAAUAGCCACGGGGCCACUGAAAUGCCAAAUGGGAGUACUGCCCACUGGUAGUGGACCCCAUUGAACUGGAACCUGAGGAAUCUGCGAUCGUUGGGAUGGAUCGGUAUGUGCAGAUAUGCAUCCUGUAGAUCGAUACUGAUCAAGGAAUCGAACGCUUUUAUGCUGGUUCUGAGUAGUCUCAAUGUAAUGAAGUGGAAAUAGGGUGGACGCUUCAGAAAACGCUCAUUGAAAACAGAGAGAUUGUGUAUCAUUCUCAUCUUGUCUGAGCCCUUCUUGGGUACCAGGAAGAUGUGAGAAUAAAACCCCGGAGUUAGCGCUGGGGUGUGUAUAAUCUCUACUGCUCUUUUUUCCAAUAGUAAGUCUAUGUUGGCCUUUAACCCUUUCGCCCCGACUGCCCGAUUUAUCGGGCAGCAUAAAGCGUGUCCCAUUACCCGGCUGCCCGAAAAAUCGGGCGGCUAUUGUCCAAGCCCCACACACGGCUGCCCGAUAAAUCGGGCGGCGCGACCGUGUUUACAAAAUCGCUCUUUCAACUUCCUUUCUCGUGUGUAAUCUCGUUCUAAAUAUGGAAACGAGAUCUACACGUGAUUGACACGUCAUUCGAUGGAAUUUCCCAGUCUUUUUGGCGCGAAAAUCGCGAAUGUCACCUGUUUUCGCGACAGGUAUUUUUUCUCGCUUGAAUCGUAAAUCUAGCGUCAUGGCGGCCAACUACGAUUCGGAUAGCGAUCAGAUGACUAACAACGACUCUAUCGGGAAUAAUAAUGUGUUUGAUUUGAAUAAUUUACGUGAAGGGGAGAGGGAAUUUCGUGAAGAUUUUGGUGAAGAUUUUGACGGUUUCGACGAGGUGUCCCCCCCCCCCCCCGCCAACUUUCAAGAAUGGGAGUGGCAGAGGGACCACAACGGUGGAGACAUGAGGGAUUUUGAAGAGGCGACCGGACUCAAGAAUAUAUAUUGACACGGUGAGUGAUAUAUAGUGCUAUUGAUUUUUUCCAACUGUUUUACAAUGAUUCUGUGUUUGAACAGAUUAUCAGUGCGACGAAUGAGAAUGCAGCCUACAGGUGAACGAGCGAUCACAACAACAACAAAGAUCAAUCUGUGAUAUCUUCACUGUGAUGUCAUUCUUAUAGGAGCUGUGGUUCAAUGUUCAGAUGUGCAUGAAGAGAAUUUACCUGUAACACCUGGGAUUACCUGUGCCGUCCAAGAUGACAAGACCACUGUGU
rnacentral:lncRNA from 1 species